rnacentral:rRNA from 1 species
CCUACGGGUGGCAGCAGUAGGGAAUAUUGCUCAAUGGGGGAAACCCUGAAGCAGCAACGCCGCGUGGAGGAUGAAGGUUUUAGGAUUGUAAACUCCUUUUGUUAGAGAAGAUUAUGACGGUAUGUAACGAAUAAGCACCGACUUACUCCGUGCCGGGAGCCGCGGUAAUACGGCGGGUGCAGGCGUUACUCGGAAUCACUGGGCGUAAAGAGUGCGUAGGCGGGGUAAUAAGUGAGACGUGAAAUCCUGUAGCUUAACUACAGAACUGCAUUUGAAACUGUUACUCUGGAGUGUGGGAGAGGUAGGUGGAAUUCGUGGUGUAGGGGUAAAAUCCGUAGAGAGCAAGAGGAAUACUGAUUGCGAAGGCGACCUGCUGGAACAUUACUGACGCUGAUGCACGAAAGCGUGGGGAGCGAACAGGAUUAGAUACCCGUGUAGUC